rnacentral:rRNA from 1 species
GUGGGGAAUAUUGGGCAAUGGGCGCAAGCCUGACCCAGCAACACCGCGUGAAGGAAGAAGGCUUUCGGGUUGUAAACUUCUUUUACCAGGGACGAAACAAAUGACGGUACCUGGUGAAUAAGCCACGGCUAACUACGUGCCAGCAGCCGCGGUAAUACGUAGGUGGCGAGCGUUAUCCGGAUUUAUUGGGUGUAAAGGGCGUGUAGGCGGGACAGCAAGUCAGAUGUGAAAACCAGAGGCUCAACCUCUGGCCUGCAUUUGAAACUGUUGUUCUUGAGUGUCGGAGAGGUAAUCGGAAUUCCGUGUGUAGCGGUGAAAUGCGUAGAUAUACGGAGGAACACCAGUGGCGAAGGCGGAUUACUGGACGAUAACUGACGCUGAGGCGCGAAAGCGUGGGGAGCAAACAGGAUUAGAAACCCGAGUAGUCC